rnacentral:lncRNA from 1 species
GUGUAUAUUUGCAGAGGUUCUGUUAUGCAGACAAUGUGGUCACAGUGUGGUGGAUGGAAGUGAAGUAGUCGAUAUUAAAAGUACUCUGGCCCUCAGAUAUAAAAAUGCUUCUGUUCUCGGUCCAAAAGGGACAUUGGUUCAGACUUUCAGAAACCCCCAAGGUUCGUUCAACAAAUGGGGGGGGGGGGGCGGGAUUGAUUUUCAGCUUGCACAAAUUUUUUUUUGCUAUCUUGUGCUAGCUGGAUUUUUUGCGGAAUAUUGAAGAUGUUUUACUAAUUUCUCUGCUUUCCCUUUUUGCCAGAAUUUGUCUUAUAAUAUAUGGCAAGGAAUGCUAUCACUUUUGCCUCAGCUGUUAAUUUUCCCUAUUCAGUAAAAAAGUCCAGUUAUAAGUAAUCCUUAUUGGUGUCCAAAAGCAAAUCUGAGUACUUGAAGAAAUAGCCUGUGGUGUUUUGCAAAUUUAAUACAUUGAAACCAUUUUUGUCACAUUGUGACUGAGGUAAAAUUAUAAUAAUUUCAGACAAUAGCAUAUUAGGGAUGAAUGCUAAAUGAAGUAAAUUGGUGAAAUCGUUACAAAAAUGUAAUUUUAUUCAAAUUCCUAGGUGCGAGUUUUGACAUAAUUACAGUAUCAAAAGCGCACAUACAAGAAGCCGGAGAGGUAUAAUUUUAAAUUUAAUGUUCAUGUAUUGUCUUUGUCUAUUUUCACUUAAAUUCAUUUUAAAUAAAAUCUAAUGCUAAUAUUUUUCUAAAAUUCCUACCUCAGGGCUGCCGAAAGGUUACGCAGGGCUCGGGGUAAAAACUUUUCCAGGAGACCCCUAUGAUGUCAAAACAGAAGAUGUGGUCUUUUGCAAUAUAUUACACUUUAAUUAUUACAUAUUAUUUGGCUAACACAGCUAGGAUGUAUGUUCUCAGUUAAGCAAUCUGGUAUCAAGAAAUUUGAAGGGCUGGGGCAGGACAAAGUGCCCCGCCCUGCUGCCCCCCACCUUUCAGCAGACCUGUCUCAAAUAUUCAAAUUCACACUACGUUUAAAAUCGGGUAUUCAAUAAUCAUCUUCCAGCUCCGAUUUCACCAAUUUAUUACCACAUAAUUUGCAUAAAUUUCAGGCGUAUGAGGAACAUUCCUGGUUUCCAGAUUAUGCCUGGAAAUUGGCGGCCUGUCCAAGAUGCCGAGCACAUUUAGGCUGGUAAGAUGAAAGUUUGUUAAUGAUUUGCCAUGCUAACAUUGAUCAUCAGAUUUCCCUACCAUUAGUACCCCAUUAAGCUGCAAUAUUGCGCCCAUUAAA